GACGAACGCUGGCGGCGUGCUUAACACAUGCAAGUCGAACGGAAAGGCCCUGCUUUUGUGGGGUGCUCGAGUGGCGAACGGGUGAGUAACACGUGAGUAACCUGCCCUUGACUUUGGGAUAACUUCAGGAAACUGGGGCUAAUACCGGAUAGGAGCUCCUGCUGCGUGGUGGGGGUUGGAAAGUUUCGGCGGUUGGGGAUGGACUCGCAGCUUAUCAGCUUGUUGGUGGGGUAGUGGCUUACCAAGGCUUUGACGGGUAGCCGGCCUGAGAGGGUGACCGGCCACAUUGGGACUGAGAUACGGCCCAGACUCCUACGGGAGGCAGCAGUGGGGAAUAUUGCACAAUGGGCGGAAGCCUGAUGCAGCAACGCCGCGUGCGGGAUGACGGCCUUCGGGUUGUAAACCGCUUUCGCCUGUGACGAAGCGUGAGUGACGGUAAUGGGUAAAGAAGCACCGGCUAACUACGUG
rnacentral:rRNA from 1 species